ensembl:lncRNA
CAGCUAACCGUUUCCUACUGAGGGCUCUCUGUGUAACGUCUCUAUGAGGAGUUCACUGUUCAACCUUAAACAGAUUGAAAUGACCGAUGGGGGAAAAUCACACCAAACCCAAGGGCUCUGUGGAAGCAACGUUCAGCGAGCGCCAGGCCCCUGAGCUGCUGCAGAAAGGCGGGUUGUGAAGGCGCGUACGUGUCAGUGUUGAAGGGAAGCCUUUGAAAGCUAUCUUUCUAACAGGAUGAAUGUGAAAGCCACAGGGGAGAAAAAAAAAGGCAGCACGAAACUGCCACCGGAGCAUUGCUUCCUGCCCGGGUAGCUCCGGCUCUUUGCUGACAGUUCUUAGGCCUUCUCUGGCUUCAAAGCAGGGGCAUCUCAGAGAUCAUCUCGAGUAAUGGAGCCUGACUUCUGUGAUGAGUGAAAGAAUCCAGGUUGGUAAAACAGAUGGCCAUCGAAUGACCAAAAAAACAGACUGACGGCCUGAUCCUGCAAAGAACUUUGACUUCCUUACAAGGAGUGAAAAUUGUACAGCCUGAAGAUUAAGUUUUUGAACUGGAUGCCCAUCCCAGCAUGAUGGUUGUCCCGGGCACAAGGGAGUAUAAAGAAUAGGGCAUUGAGGGAACCCAGAACAGGGACUGUUUGAUGCCACAUAAUGGCAAACAUCCCCAGAUUAGACAGAGAUCUUAAGCGUUGUGGUAAUGGAUGCUUCUGUUAUUGGUGAGAAGUCUUGUCUGUGAGUGGAAUGGGAAUCUUGCCUCUGGGUUUCAUCACAGCUUCAUCGACUGUGGUGAGCUCUCUAGCAAAGGUGUGACAAAUCUUACUGAGCACGUUUUGUUUAUGAAGAGCUGUACUGGGUGCAAGAGGUAUAAGAAAGUAUAGGUACAGUACUGUAAGCCAGAAGUUCAUGAUGUGGUUAGGGAGAUGCACCAUAUUCUUGUGAAAAGAUGAUUAAGUCGGGACCAACAGGGCAUGUAAAAGCCAGGAACAACCAGGGAAUGUUCUAGAAGUGCCAGGGACGGAGUGGGAGCUGUUAGGUCAGGGAAGACUUGAGGAGAAGGAUAGGACUGAAGCUGGGCCUUGAAAGGCUGGAGACUUUCAGUGAUUGGAAAUGUGAAAAGGAGACUAUUCCAGGUGGAGGAAGACCAUGCUGAGGCCCUGGUGAGGAGAUGACCCCUGAGCUUGGGUGGAGAGGAAAGAAGAAUGUCCUGGGAGGUAAGGCUGAAGGAUCACACAGAUGUGGAGGCCACGCAGAGUUUGAAGUUCAUCAUGUUGGAUCCUCCUGAUCCGGGAAGGGAGCCGAGAAAAGCAGGAUGUCAGGAAGGUGAAGGCAGAAGAGAGUGGCAGUCACCUCAGGAGGAGCUCACAGGGUCCCAUCUCAGUGACAAGGCUUAGGUCUGCAGAGCUGUGUGGACUGUGCUGUGUUCUAAGCCACGGAUUGUAAAUGGAGCCCUCCUUCCUCGGCAUCCCUCUUCCUCCCCGGAAGCCUCUGCUCACCAUCUGACUAAACUGGGGCCACCCAAGCUUCUGCUCAGGGAGUUUCCCCACAAGCCUGGAGCCAAAGCGAAACAAAGGCAGGUUCAGUUUUUUAAAGUUCACUGCUUGAUUCUUAUUUGCUCACUCUUGGAUUCCCAUUAGUGCUGCCCUGACUGAUUUGAGGCCUUACUAGACAUUUGGACGAUUUCUUAUUUUCAUAGCUAACUCAGAAGGUCAUCUUUGAGCUCUGGAAGCAUCUGCUCAACCUGACAGACAGCUAAGUCAGAGCCACAGAUCUGGGGGUGGGGGUGGGUCUGCCCUGGUCAGGGAGGGCUCCCCUACUAAGAGCCCUGGGAGGAAAGGAGCGUGGACCCCCCUUUCUUGAAACUUUUUUCCGUAUUUUCUAAACACCUCAAUGUGUGGCCUGUAGGCAAACAGCUUGGGUAUCACCUGGACGUUAGUUAAAAAUAUAGAAUCUAAGGCUCCACCCCAGCCCUACUGGAUCAGGAUCUGCAUGUUUUACAAGAUCCCCAGGGAUUCAUGCGCACAUUAGCGUUUGAGAAGUGCUGCUUUCAACCUAGUAGGAUGGAAGGAUCACCUGUGGAGCUUUUAUUUAUUUAUUUAUUCUUUUUGAGGAAGAUUAGCCCUGAGCUAACUACUACCAAUCCUCCUCCUUUUGCUGAGGAAGCCUGGCCCUGAGCUAACAUCUGUGCCCAUCUUCCUCUACUUUAUAUGUGGGACGCCCACCACAGCAUGGCAUGCCAAGCAGUGCCAUGUCUGCACCCGGGAUCCAAACCAGUGAACCCCGGGCUGCCGAGAAGCAGAAUGUGUGAACUUAACCGCUGCACCACUGGGCUGGCCCCUGGCUGUGGAGCUUUUAAAACAUUCUGUGGCAUAUUACAUACCCCAGACAAAUUAAGUCAGAAUCUCUAGGGGUGGAGCCCUGGCACUGGUAUUUUUUAAAAAGUUUUCAGAUGAUUCUAGGUACAGCUUGAGUUGAAAACCACUGGCCUAUGGUCUGUGUUAACCACUCUGUUUCCAAGGCACCAAAUUCCCCUCAUACUGUAAAACAAAACACCACUAACCUUUUAGCCACAGACCCCGAUGGAGUGAAAACAAUACUCACUAAGCAUUUAUUCAGAUCUGGUUAGAAAAUUCCUGGCCAAGAACAGAUGUAACCACUGGAUUCACUCAAAAGUGUCAAGAUGGUAGCUUGUUAAAAUUCCUAGUCUUGAGUAUUCUCUUCUGGCCUUGGAGGGUGGCUCUGUGUAGAACCUGGAGGACAGUUGCCUUGCCCCUAAUCUUGGUUUCUGAGAAGAUGGUACCCAGGCCUGUGCCACAAGGAGCCAUGUUGCCUGCCUAUGGACAGCAGAAACACACUGAGGAAUUCAGAGUAUUGAUUUUUCACACUAAUGGUCACUUUCAGGAAGCAAAAAAGGGUUUAAAAGCAGUUUUCCACCAAUCAUCAGCCUAGGGUAGAUGUCAAACUUUAAUAACUAUCGCGGUUAUUUCAAUAUAUCUUCUUUCCCAUUGAGGGCUUUCAGUUACUUAAUGCCAGGGUGCUGGGAACCUUCAGGGGUGAAUGUCAAUGAGUGUCAAGUCAGUCUCUGAUUUUCCUCAGUGCUCCCAGCUCUGCUGAAACAUCGGGGAUUUUCCAUUGACAGAUUCCGAUCCUGAGCCAAUCUUGGUCAGGGCUUGGAGGGUAUUAGCAACUCUGUUUCUUCUUCUUGCCUUAUCCCUGCCUCUUGGUGCCCCCAGGAUGGCGAUGGACCUGAGCACUGCUAUAGGAGCUGUGGCCUUUCUCCUCAUUCCUUAUUUUUUGUCCUCUUAGAACUAGGUAUGAAUUGUAGCCUGGUUAUCUGAAGUCUACACAUGCUCCUUAACCCUUUCUAGAAACUUCUCUGGGGUGGAUCCUGCUUUGAACUAGGACAUCCUAGAAUUAGUGUGCUGAUCUUUGUCUGUCUGGGGUCUUCAGGUUCUGUGUCCACUCAGCACCUCAGCACCAUACAUACUGGUCUGCAUUAAGCUUGAGGUCACCUUGCCCCUUUGUGCACUGCAGUUGGGACCGCUGGACACUCGCCUCGGGGGCUCACAUCUUACAUGGCCUCAUUCCCUUGGCUGUGGCUACUUCUUUUCUUGGUUUUCUCUCUUUUCCCUUUGGCUUGGCAUUAUGGUCUCAGCAUAACUCAAUGCUCCUACCCCCACUCAUACCACAGGAGCAGCACCUGCUCAGAUGUGACCACAGAGACAAUGCCACAAGGGCCGUCAUUCUCAAUAACAGUAGUAACAUUAUUUUUUGCUGAUGAGGAAACGGAGUCGGAGAUGAACCAGACAGUGGUGGUGAGAAGAUCCCAACUUUCUUGCUUCUAGUUUGAAACAUUUAAGUCUUCUUCAGUUCCACCUCAGAACAUUGCAAGUCAAGAUGACCACGGAAAGAAAUCUGAAUAACUAAACUGAAAUCCUGCAUUGAUGCUAAACUGAAGUGACACUUAUGUUUGGAGUUGGGGUUGGUUCAUUCAUACAUAUAUGUACAUAUAUAUAAAAUACAUAUUUACAAGUAUAUAUAAAUACAUAUAUACUGAAAUAUGUGUGUACAUUUACUGAGAAUGUAGCAGGGGUGUUUGUGAAGUGGGCACCAAGUCCAGAAAUAGACAUUGUUGCCUCCACUGAAGGUAAAGGACAGCCCACUAAUUACCCUGUGAGGUGCCUGGGCUGCCAGUGCUGGCGACUCCUACAGGGACAGAACACUUACUAGUCUCUGGAGGCAGACUCAUGAGGCAGAUCAGAGGAUUUUGGACCUUGCUGCUGUCUGUGAAAGAAUUUAUAAUUUGUACCUUGCUGUGCCCAGGUUGCUCCUAGGCACCCUCCCUCUGGUGCUUGAAGUUGGUAUGCCUUCUGUCCAGACAAGUAGCUUCUUGGGCUAUUAAUUAUGUAGUUAAAACUCUAAACCUUCUCAUUUUAAAUGAUAAUAAAAUGUUUAAAGGUAUGUUGCUUAUAAACCUAUUUUACUUUUUGUCUUUCCAUUUGUUCCCAUUUUAUUGCCUUUCAUCGUGGGCUGGCUGACUGGCCAAGCCAAGCUAAUUACUGCCUUAUUGUUUUUGGAAGACUAGGUGACACCAAGAUUAUUAAUGAGUCAAUAAAUUGGGGCUACAGAAGAGCCUGGCUAUUUUUCCCUUGCCCGUUCUCUCGUUAGGCAUGUUGUUCUGCUGUGGCUAAAUCUGAGAGGAUGGGCACUGUGAAGUUGGCGGUUGAUGUGGCUGAGAGCACUGGUUCAUAAAGAAACAUGGAGUAGGCAGAGACUGCAGGGACCUGGAGAGUGAGAAGGUCAGGGGGACCACGUAUUGGGAGAAAGGAAAGGAGGAGAAUUCCAAACUGAGAGUUCCACCCUCUGUCAGUUAGAAGCAUGUCCACUCUCUGGUCAAUACCCAUGGCUUGUGCUAGCAUUGAAUCAGUGUUAAGUUGACUCCUUCAUGAAUACACUCACCUCAAUUAGAAUGGCACCAGCAGUUACCUGGUUUCUAUGGAAAAGGGUCAGAGUAGGUGAUGAAAUCUUUCUUCUUCCUGUCUUCUCGUUAAAUCUAACCCAUUCUUUUUUUUUUUCAGUUUCUUCUUUUUUUAACCCCUUCUUAGACUGAAAUAAAAUCUAGCAAAACCUUUAUCAGAGACUCUUGCUGUUUUUAAACUUUAUAAAAUAAAGACUGAUAGUCUUUUUUUUCUUGAGGAAUAAUAUAGUGCCUAUUGUAUAAUGACACAACAAAUUAUAGGACAAAUGAAUUGUUGCUUUCUUGAUAAAACUCUAUUUGCUCUAAAAGUUGUGCAGGAUAUAUCUUUAUCUUUUUUUUUUUUUUUUUUGCUGGGAAAGUUUUGCCCUGAGUAACAUCUGUUGCCAACUUUCCUCUCUCUCUCUCUCUUUUUUUUUCCCUCCCCUAAGCCCUGUACAUAGUUGUAUAUUCUAGUUCUAAGUCCUUCUGGUUCUGUUAUGUGAGCUGCCGGCACAGCAUGGCUACUGACGGAUGAGUGGUGUGGUUCUGUGCCCAGGAACUGAACCCAGGCCGCCGAAGCAGAGCGUGCUGAACUGUAACAACUAGGCCAUCAGGGCUGGCUCUCUUUAUUUUAUUUUUAGAUUUAUUUUUAAAAUAAAGUGUAUUUUUCCAUUACAACAAUAAUAUGGAAAUACAGAAGAGUAAAAAGAAAAGAAAAUCAUCCUUGGUCUCAAAGACCAUUUCUGUUAAUAUUUUUCUGUAAUUUCUUGCAGACCUUUCUAUCAAGAGGUUUUUUUGGUUUGUUUUUUGGCAGGGAAGUUGGGUGGGUGGAAUGUGGGGUAUAAUAUGCACAGUUAUUUUUAAAUUUAAUUCAAUUAAAAUUAAUUUGGUUUGGAGGCUUCAUCCAUCAUUUGGAGUCACCAGCACGUCUUUGACACAUUGUAAAUAUCUGCUCUAAGGACUUAGAAUGAUAGAGCUAGAACUGGAACAGAAAGAAUACUCAUUGUUGAUGAAGAAGUGAGAUGUAGAGAUUCAAUAGCCAGUUAGCUGGGAGUAGAGCCUCAUCUAGGACUCCCAGCCUAUGUGUCCUUCUGUGUCCUUCAAAUAAGUAUCCUCAUAGCAUAGUCACAGCAAGAGAGACAACCAGAGAAAAUUAAGGGUGGCCUGGAAUUCCUGCAAAAUAACUUGAUGUUCAAUAAGCUAAUUCCUUAGAAAGAGAAAAUGAAGUGACCUCAAGUAACAGCAAAAUGGUUAAAAGUAGGUGCUCAAGAGUUACAGUCCUGGGUCCAAAUACUGUGUCCACCAAUGAUAGCUCUGUGGCCUUGGGCAGUUUUCUUUAAUAGUUUCUUUAUUCACAUGUAUUUAUUGAGCACCAACUGUGUGCCAGGUACUCUGUGCUGGCGACAUAGAGUGAACAAAGCAAAGGCCUUUCCCAUGAAGCUUAUAUGCUAGAAGGGUGAGAUGGACAACAAAAACAUAAAUAUGUGCUGUGUCAGGGAGAAAAAUAAAGCAAGAUGACUGGUAGAGGGAGUGCUGGGGAGGGGUUGCUAUUUUAUGAAGGGAAUACCUCACAGAUAAGGUGACAUUUGGGUGGAGAUCUAAAGGAAGUCCUUAGUCUUUCCCCGCCUCAGUUUCCUCAUCUAUAAAGGGGAUAAUGAUAGUGCCUCCCUCACAAGGGAGCACUGAGAAUUCAAUGAGAGAAUGCAUUAAAGCCAAAUGCUCCAUUGAUGGUAGCCAUAGUUAUUUGUUUCCUUUCCUGUCCAGUGGAAAAAUUAAGUAGAUUUGUAAGGACCUUUGCAGCAAUGACACUCCUGUGAUGCUUGGUCUGACUUGUGUGAUGACACACGCUCUUCAUGGGAUCCUGGGUCUAAUUCUCACUCCCUGUUUAUACUUAGCCAUAUCGAUCCAAACUGCCAACCCAUCUGAUGUCAGGAGGAGGCCUUAAUACACAGCUGAGAACAACUAAGCCAUGUUGAAAGGAUGAGAACUCAAGGUUGAAUUCCCUAUGCAAUACAACUUUUCACUGCAACCUUGAAACCAAGAUUCUAUCUAGUGGGAGAAAGUAAACGAGAUACUUCUGUUCAGAUUCAUAAGGAUGUUUCUGUGGAUACAAGACACACCCUUGCUUGAAGGGAUAAUAUUAAAACUUGUUAAACUCUGAGUAGACAAAAUGUACAAUGGUGCUUAUUAUGAAGAAACUGAGAAAAACAGCUAAGGGCUUUGCCUGGUUGGCAUUUCUAAAGUUAAUGCAUCUUACUUAAAAAAACAGAGCUCCCACAUUUCCAUGGUGCCACAAGGCCCUGGAGUCUUU